UGAACUUCAAAAUGAACCAAAACGGUCCCUCCCAAUUCUUGGUCAACGUUAAACAGCGUUAAAAAAUUAACGGACGUUAAUUCUAAUGUGCAAUUACAUUUAUAGCCUCUAGUGAUACAGCUUUGGUCUUUCUUCAUUUUUAUUUUUUAUUUUUCUUAGAACUGUCAAUCUUCUUCAUUCUUCUAUCUUCUUCCUUUCUUUUUUAAUAAUUUCUCUGAGAUUCUUCUACCAAAACCCAGAAAUUUUAUCUUCACAAAGAAAUCUGAUUUUGCCAAGUCCGACGCCAAUGUUACUAAAUAAUCAAUCUUUUCGUCCUCCCUCCAAAUCGGUGCCAAGACCGUGAUAACACCCACUCAGACCUCAUUUGACCCCGACGGGAGGUCAAGCUUCUCACAACUUGGAGCACAAAUUACGGGCUCCAACGGAUACGGUGAACUUUUGAUGAAUUGCAACGGGAUUCGAUUUUGGAAACCCAAAUACGGUUGUUCGGGUUUCUGCCGGUUCGGCGGUCGGAAAUUUGAAACCAAGAGUAAGGAAGAAACCAAUAAGAAAGCAGCCUUUGCUCCGCCACACACAACCAAGAUCCUGGCGGAAUCCGCUACUAUCAUUCCCAAAAACAGAAUUAUGUAAUCUGCUAUAUAUUCUCAAUUUUCUUGGAUGAUUUUGGUUUUUUGGGCUCUUGUUGUUAUUGUUCCUUAAGAUAUAAUUUUAUUUAGUUUUCCAUUUUUUGUUAAAUUGAGCGAGCUUUGCGUUAUUCUACAUCAAUUAAAGAAGUCUUUCUUCACAAAAUUGGGUGAUUUUUUUUGCUGAACUUUCUCAUGUUCUGUUGUUGAAUAUGAAUUGACCGAAAAUGAUGGUGGUGUGGAGAAGGAGACGAAAGCGGAAAUAGUAAUAAUGAUAAGGGGUAAAAUCGUCCAAAAGCUACUCCAGCUGUCAUAGAUAUGAAAGUCAAAGUGCCACAUCAGCCAAGGUAGACGGAAUUUAAACUGAGGGGCUAUUUUGACUCAUUUUGAAGUUUAGGGGGGUAUUCUAUACGUUGGGUAUAGUUCAGGUAGGUAAAAUGA
rnacentral:lncRNA from 1 species